rnacentral:lncRNA from 1 species
UGCCAGAAUGAGCUCAGCAUCAGUGCAAGCUCUAUUUUCUAUCGUUAACACUGCACAGAAAAAUGUUUUUACAUAAAUUAGCAGAUGGAAAUGAAAUAAGCUUUUCUUCCCUUAAUGUAUAACAAAAUCAUUCAACUUGAGGCAUGUGCCAAAAAAAUUGCUUACCAUCUUUUCAAGUUUUAUUUUUAAUGAUUCUUCACUAAAUGACCUUGUUCAAUUUUAUUGAAAGCAAAGAUUUAGAGACCACCUCACUAAUCAAAGUUUUUCCCUUACUCUUUCCAGCCAUUUUUCUUUGUAACCACAACACCAAUUUUUGGAUUAUACAUACAUCUGUUUGGUACGUCAGGAGGUUUUUUACCCUGCGGGACAGUAGACCUUUGUGAUAUCCUGGGAGAAGGAAAGAUUUGCCUUCCUUUUAUAAGUGGUAGAAAUAGCUACUGGGAAAGAGAAACAGUGUGGUACUUCAACUGUUGACCUCAGACAAGUCAUUUUAAGGAAACAAUACACCUGGCCUGAAGAUUGUCUGAAGCCCCUGGCAAGGUGGUGCAGGCUGCAUUUGGAGUAGCUCAGCUUGGAAGCCAGUCAGAUUGUGGCAGCAACCGACUAAAGAAUGUUGUUCUGUAGAACCGAUGGGAACAGAAAGUGACUCUAAACUCUGAUUCUCUGAGGAAAGAGAAAGUAUGUUUGUGCACACUAUGCCAGUGAGGGGCCUGCUCUGUUUGGUGCAAAGUUGUUAAAACAACAUUUUUGGAGCUGAUCAUAACUUGUUGGUGGUCCUUCUCUUAGCAAAUUAAUUGUGUCAUACUUUUUCAAGAUAACUUGCCUCAUGCUGAUUGCUUAUCUUUCUGUGCAUAAUUUUCCUCACAUAUAUUUUCACAUGAUGGUGAGGUAUUUGGAUAGCAUUUUAUGCUUUUUACCAUGUUUUGCAGAUGUUAUGUCAGAUUCAUAGCAACCCCAGGAAACGUAUCUUACAGAAUUGAUCUGGAAGGAUGUGCACUUGUCAGAAACAGCACUUCAUUUUAUUCCCUUGUUUAUGAGAGACAUAAACUAGCUCACUGUAUUCAGAAGAAAACUAAGAUAGGAGCUGGGCUCUAAGGAUCCAUAUUAAACCAAAAUCAGAUGUUCGUGAUAGUGAAGAUCUGUUCAUAUGCUGGGAAGACUGAGAUGUUGAUUUGAAUUUGAUAACAUAGUAACGGUCCGCAUCACAUGUUUGUGCAAGAAUGUCCGUGCAGAAAUCUGACUGCUUUUUGUGGGGAUCAACCAAGUCAGAGAGUGGACCAGCUACAGAGGAAAGGUAUCUUCCUGGUUUUCCUAUGAAGUUUCUUUUAUAAAACAUGAUAAUGAAGAGUUUAUUUAUAAAUGUCCUCAGAGCAGAGAUAAUAGAAGUCAUUUGUAGAGACCAAAUCCCCCAGAAAUGUUAGAGAAGUCUUCAGAAUCCAUUCUUGUUGUCAUGCACAAAUCCUUUCUGGACAUCUGUUGUGACAGGAAACCGUGUUUUUCUCAGC